rnacentral:lncRNA from 1 species
UACGGGUGCUGGAGCCUCCUCAACGGGUGCUGCAGCAACCGGUUCCUCAGCUGCGGCUGCAGGUUCUUCUGCAGCCACAGGUUCUUCAACUGGAGCUGCAACAGGUUCUGCUGCAACUGCCACUGGCUCUUCUGAUUCUGCGGCUACAGGGGCUGCUACUUCCUCCGCAGCAGGAGCAGCCUCUUCUGGUGCUGGUGCUGAUUCGACCUCAACAUCCUUUUCUACAGCGGGGGCUGGUUCCUCCGCCUG